UUAAAAAGCUCGUAGUUGGAUUUCUGGACGGGUGCCAAGACCCGCUUGUUAGUGAGGACGCGGCGCCCGCCCAUCCAUCUGUUAACGUUGCCGGCAUUCGCUUGCUGGUGGCGGGCUCAGAUAUUUUACCUUGAGAAAAUUAGAGUGUUUCAGGCAGGCUUGCGCCUAGAUCCAUUAGCAUGGAAUAAUAGAAUAGGACCUUGGCCUCUUCUGUUGGUCUGAGGGGUUAGAGUAAUGAUUAAUAGGGAUAGUUGGGGGCAUUAGUACUUAACUGCUAGAGGUGAAAUUCUCAGAUUUGUUAAAGACUAACUUAUGCGAAAGCAUUUGCCAAGGAUGUUUUCGUUAGUCAAGAACGAAAGUUAGGGGAUCAAAGACGAUCAGAUACCGUCGUAGUCUUAACCAUAAACUAUGCCGACUCGGGAUCGG
rnacentral:rRNA from 1 species